rnacentral:rRNA from 1 species
GCAAGCUACUAAGUGCGAUCGGUGGAUGCCUUGGCACCAAGAGCCGAUGAAGGACGUUGUAACCUGCGAUAAGCCUAGGGGAGUUGGUAAACGAGCUGUGAUCCUGGGAUGUCCGAAUGGGGUAACCUUGAAUGUCCGGAGUUAUGUCCGGUGACUUCUGCCUGAAUGUAUAGGGUAGUUGGAGGGAACGCGGGGAAGUGAAACAUCUUAGUACCCGUAGGAAGAGAAAACAAUAGUGAUUCCGUGAGUAGUGGCGAGCGAAAGUGGAUGAGGCUAAACCUAUACCGUGUGAUAGCUGACAGGUGUUGCGGUGUGGGGGUUGUGGGAUGUUGUGUGGCCUGGCUGUUGACGGGUCGUGGAGUGAUAAAUGGUGGGUGAAGUUGAACAGGUUGGAAAGCCUGAGCGUAGUGGGUGAUACUCCCGUAGGCGUAUGUCUGCCACUUCAUUGCAAUAUUUUCCCAAGUAGCACGGGACUCGUGGAAUUUCGUGUGAAUCUGGCAGGACCAUCUGCUAAGCCUAAAUACUCCUUGGUGACCGAUAGUGUAUCAGUACCGUGAGGGAAUGGUGAAAAGUACCCCGGGAGGGGAGUGAAAUAGUACCUGAAACCGGGCGCUUACAAGCCGUCAGAGCCUCCUUAUGCUUUUUGUGUGUGGGGGUGGUGGCGUGCCUUUUGAAGAAUGAGCCUGCGAGUCAGUGGCGUGUCGCGAGGUUAACCCGUGUGGGGUAGCCGUAGCGAGAGCGAGUCCGAAUAGGGCGAGUGUAGUGGCGCGUUCUGGACCCGAAGCGGGGUGAUCUACCCAUGGCCAGGUUGAAGCACGUGUAAGAGCGUGUGGAGGACCGAACCCACCUAGGUUGAAAACUGGGGGGAUGAGCUGUGGGUAGGGGUGAAAGGCCAAUCAAACUCCGUGAUAGCUGGUUCUCCCCGAAAUGCAUUUAGGUGCAGCGUUGCGUGUUUCUUGCCGGAGGUAGAGCACUGGAUGGUCUAGGGGGCCUACAAGCUUACCGAAAUCAGCCAAACUCCGAAUGCCGGUAAGUGAGAGCGUGGCAGUGAGACUGUGGGGGAUAAGCUUCAUAGUCGAGAGGGAAACAGCCCAGAUCAUCAGCUAAGGCCCCUAAGUGGUGACUAAGUGGAAAAGGAUGUGGAGUUGCGUUGACAACCAGGAGGUUGGCUUGGAAGCAGCCAUCCUUGAAAGAGUGCGUAAUAGCUCACUGGUCAAGUGAUUCUGCGCCGACAAUGUAGCGGGGCUUAAGUUAUCCGCCGAAGCUGUGGCGCCUGCACUGUUGUGUGGGUGGGUAGGGGAGCGUCGUGUGUGUGGUGAAGUUGCGGGGUGACCUGUGGUGGAGUGCAUGCGAGUGAGAAUGCAGGCAUGAGUAGCGAAUGACGGGUGGGAAACCCGUCCGCCGAAUAUCUAAGGGUUCCAGGGUCAAGUUAAUCUGCCCUGGGUUAGUCGGGGCCUAAGGCGAGGCCGACAGGCGUAGUCGAUGGAUAACGGGUUGAUAUUCCCGUACCGGCGGAGCAACGUCCGUGCCGGGGCGCAUGAUGCUAAGCAUGCGAGGCUGUGGUUUGUCUUUCGGGGCAGGUCAUGGUUGAGUCUGUGAUCCGAUUGUGUAGUAGGCAAGCUGCGGAGGGACGCAGGAAGGUAGCUCAUCCUUGGUUUUGGUUGAUCUGAGGCUAAGUGUGUAGGGCGGGGUGUAGGUAAAUCCGCAUCCUGGGUGCCUGAGACAUGAUGGGCCUAGCCCCUUUGAGGGGUUGGGUUGAGUGAUCCUAUGCUGCCUAGAAAAGCUUCGUUAGCGAGUUGUGAGCCGCCCGUACCCUAAACCGACACAGGUGGAUAAGUAGAGAAUACUAAGGCGAUCGAGUGAAUCGUGGUGAAGGAACUCGGCAAAAUACCCCCGUAACUUCGGGAUAAGGGGGACCUGAAGCGUAUUAGACUAUUUGCGUUGAAAGCGUUGAGGGUCGCAGAGACCAGGCCCAAGCGACUGUUUACUAAAAACACAGGUCCGUGCCAACUUGUAAGAGGAUGUAUACGGACUGACUCCUGCCCGGUGCUGGAAGGUUAAGGGGAACUGUCAGCCACUGUGUGUGGUGAAGCGGUGAACUUAAGCCCCAGUAAACGGCGGUGGUAACUAUAACCAUCCUAAGGUAGCGAAAUUCCUUGUCGGGUAAGUUCCGACCUGCACGAAUGGAGUAACGAUUUGGGCGCUGUCUCCACCACGAACUCGGUGAAAUUGCAUUACGAGUAAAGAUGCUCGUUACGCGCAGCAGGACGGAAAGACCCCGGGACCUUUACUAUAGUUUGGUAUUGGUGAUCGGUGUGACUUGUGUAGGAUAGGUGGGAGACUGUGAAGCUGGGACGCUAGUUCUGGUGGAGUCGUCGUUGAAAUACCACUCUGGUUACUCUGGUUAUCUAACCUAGGGCCAUGAUCUGGUUCAGGGACAGUGCCUGAUGGGUAGUUUGACUGGGGCGGUCGCCUCCUAAAAGGUAACGGAGGCGCCCAAAGGUUCCCUCAGCCUGGUUGGCAAUCAGGUGUUGAGUGUAAGUGCACAAGGGAGCUUGACUGUGAGACUGACGGGUCGAGCAGGGACGAAAGUCGGGACUAGUGAUCUUCUGGUAGCGGAUGGAAGCGCCAGGACUCAACGGAUAAAAGGUACCCCGGGGAUAACAGGCUGAUCUUGCCCGAGCGUCCAUAGCGACGGCAUGGUUUGGCACCUCGAUGUCGGCUCGUCGCAUCCUGGGGCUGGAGUCGGUCCCAAGGGUUGGGCUGUUCGCCCAUUAAAGCGGCACGCGAGCUGGGUUUAGAACGUCGUGAGACAGUUCGGUCCCUAUCCGCUGCGCGCGUAGGAGUCUUGAGAAGGGCUGUCCUUAGUACGAGAGGACCGGGACGGACGAACCUCUGGUGUGCCAGUUGUUCCGCCAGGAGCACGGCUGGUUGGCUACGUUGGGAAGUGAUAACCGCUGAAAGCAUCUAAGCGGGAAGCACGCUUCAAGAUGAGGGCUCCCACAGAAACAAUCUGGUAAGGCCCCCCACAGACCAUGGGGUCGAUAGGUCGGACGUGGAAGCGUAGUAAUACGUGAAGCUGACCGAUACUAAUAGGCCGAGGGCUUACCACA